UGAAAUCUUCUUAAUCGAAAAAA
rnacentral:snRNA from 1 species